rnacentral:snRNA from 1 species
AUACUUACCUGGCAGGGGAGAUACCAUGAUCACAAGGAUGGUUUUCCCAGGGUGAGGCUUAUCCAUUGCACUCGGGAUGUCCUGACACCUGCAAUUUCCCCAAAUGUGGGAAACUCGACUGUGUAAUUUUUGGUAGUGGGGGAACUGCAUUCAUGCUUUUUCCUG